AUUGAACGCUGGCGGCAGGCCUAACACAUGCAAGUCGAGCGGAUGAAGGGAGCUUGCUCCUGGAUUCAGCGGCGGACGGGUGAGUAAUGCCUAGGAAUCUGCCUGGUAGUGGGGGAUAACGUCCGGAAACGGGCGCUAAUACCGCAUACGUCCUGAGGGAGAAAGUGGGGGAUCUUCGGACCUCACGCUAUCAGAUGAGCCUAGGUCGGAUUAGCUAGUUGGUGGGGUAAAGGCCUACCAAGGCGACGAUCCGUAACUGGUCUGAGAGGAUGAUCAGUCACACUGGAGCGGAGACACGGUCCAGACUCCUACGGGAGGCAGCAGUGGGGAAUAUUGGACAAUGGGCGAAAGCAUGAUCCAGCGAUGCCGCGUGUGUGAAAAAGGUCUUCGGAUUGUAAAGCACUUUAAGUUGGGAGGAAGGGCAGUAAGUUAAUACCUUGCUGUUUUGACGUUACCAACAGAAUAAGCACCGGCUAACUUCGUG
rnacentral:rRNA from 1 species